CCCGACCUUUCCUAGGGUAUGGCGUCAUACAGCCAAGGACGCUAAACCGUCCGGGACUCCCACAGUUGGUUACUGAGAACCGCCCGGAAGGGAGAUGGCGGACAAGGCGCUGCCUCUCGGCACCCUACCUGCCGCUCCUUUGGCCCUUAUUGCUGGGCCCACAGAUCCAGUCUCCGAAGCCUAAGUGACAGAAUAAAUUUAUUCUCCCUCUUACUGACACAACCACUCCCUCUCCUGUCAACAACACUAAUGAGAUUCAUUGGGACACACAAAGACAUAAAAGAUGAAAGAAUUCGAGAGGGACAAGAGCAGGUAAAGGGAGUAACCAUUUCAGAACGCAGUGUUUUGGAGAUGCCAGUACCAUGAGAUGACCACCAAGAGCAGCAGCAGCAGUGGAGUACAGGCA
rnacentral:lncRNA from 1 species